AUACGCUAUUAUACAUCAGCUUUUUUCUUUCAAUUACAGGGAUGAUGGUAGGUGCUUUGUGCGCCAUAACAGGAGUCUUAACAAUUGCCCUUCCAGUGCCCGUCAUUGUGUCAAAC
rfam:Hymenolepis nana genome assembly, scaffold: HNAJ_scaffold0000257